CAGUAGCCACGGGAAUACGUAGGUGGCAAGCGUUGUCCGGAAUUAUUGGGCGUAAAGGGCUCGCAGGCGGUUUCUUAAGUCUGAUGUGAAAGCCCCCGGCUCAACCGGGGAGGGUCAUUGGAAACUGGGAAACUUGAGUGCAGAAGAGGAGAGUGGAAUUCCACGCGUAGCGGUGAAAUGCGUAGAGAUGUGGAGGAACACCAGUGGCGAGGGCGACUCUCUGGUCUGUAACUGACGCUGAGGAGCGAAAGCGUGGGGAGCGAACAGGAUUAGAUACCCCUGUAGUCCCUGUCUCUUAUAC
rnacentral:rRNA from 1 species